AGGCCCCGGGGCAAAUGGAGGGCGGCGUGCGCUGUGCUUAUCGGCCCCAAACGGGGCUGGAGCCGAGGCUCAUGGUGCAGGGAGAUUCGCCCGCCGCCGCCAGCAGCUCUGUCUUGGCAUUGCGCUGCCUACAGCCUACCCGGCCGUCACCGAACGCGGGAGCGCCGGGGAUCUGGGCGGAGGAGCCAGGAGAGUCGGGGAGGCACGGGGUGUGAAGUGCGGCCACUAUAGCAACCAGCGCACGGCUCCUUCCGCGGGUUGUGACCUUUGAAGAGAAAUGCCGUAGAAGCAUGGACGUGGCUUUUCACCAAGGUUAUUCAUUAAUUUAAGUGUUUUUUUUUUAAUUUUAUUUUAUUUUAUUUUAUUUUUUGAGACAGGUACUCACUCUGUCUCCCAGGCCGGAGUGCAAUUAUCUGUACAAUUGAUAAUCUAUAAGAUGGUCCAACCUGCGUAACAGAGUGAGAUUCCGUCUCAA
rnacentral:antisense_RNA from 1 species